rnacentral:lncRNA from 1 species
CGGAGACUGAGGGGGGCUUAGUAACUUACUAAGGGUCCUCAGCAGGUUUGGUUCAGAGGGAAGUAAACUUGUCUGAGUCUGAGGAGUGGGCAGGAGUCUGACCUGCAGGAGAACAGCUCAGCACUGAGGUGGGAGAGGCCCACACGGAGCAGCAGUAGCAGCAAGAGGAGUCCCUGACCCAACUUCCGUCUCAGGGCCCUUGCCAGGAUGUCAUCAUCAGCUGUUUAGUGUUGGGAAAGAAGAUAAAACCGAUUCCCACCUGCUUAUUGGAUGUUCUCCAUGGUCCCUUCUCCUCUCACAUGUUUGUGAUUUAAUGGCUUAGAGGUCUUGCGUGACCCCUGUGAAAGGAUUACUUGAUACGCUCAAAGAGGUUGUGACCCAUAGGUUGGGAACAAUUGCUCUAUACCAAGACCCAUCUGAUUUCCAACAGCCAACCUUGCUGGGCCUUAGCACAUUGCAGUCACACAAAGACAGUGUUUUCUCAAUUGAUGCACAAGGUGUGUUUUGCCUCCCUUUGCUGAGAGCAGAAUGGGGGAUGGAGAGGCUGCUUAUUGUCACCUUAGAUCUUCCGGGUCUUUGUGGCUCUUUCCCUCUGAGUUCCAGAUUCAUCUUCUUGGUCUGUUUUAUUUCUAGUUUGUCAGCUCCUCAGCUUUUCACAUUGCUCUUGAGCCCUGUACUUACUGCAUGAGUGUCUGCUGUUUCUG